AACGCACAUUGCGCCCCCUGGCAUUCCGGGGGGCACACCUGUUCGAGCGCCAUUUCUACCCUGGAGCCCUGCUCUGUGAUGGGCCCCGUCCCCGCGGACGGGCCCGAAACCCGUGGGCGCCGUCGCCCGGCCCCGAGCGUAGCAAGAGAAAUCCCUCGCUCGGAGUGCCUGUCGGCAGCCGCCCUUGAAACCUAUCUUACAAGGUUGGCCUCGGAUCAGGUGGGGAUACCCGCUGAACUUAA
rnacentral:misc_RNA from 1 species